AAUAGAUACCCGGGUAGUCCACGCCGUAAACGAUGAGUGCUAAGUGUUGGAGGGUUUCCGCCUUUCAGUGCUGCAGCUAACGCAUUAAGCACUCCGCCUGGGGAGUACGGUCGCAAGACUGAAACUCAAAGGAAUUGACGGGGGCCCGCACAAGCGGUGGAGCAUGUGGUUUAAUUCGAAGCAACGCGAAGAACCUUACCAGGUCUUGACAUCUCCUGACCGCCCUGGAGACAGGGUCUUCCCUUCGGGGACAGGAUGACAGGUGGUGCAUGGUUGUCGUCAGCUCGUGUCGUGAGAUGUUGGGUUAAGUCCCGCAACGAGCGCAACCCUUGGUUCUAGUUGCCAGCAUUCAGUUGGGCACUCUAGAGCGACUGCCGGCGACAAGUCGGAGGAAGGUGGGGAUGACGUCAAAUCAUCAUGCCCCUUAUGACCUGGGCUACACACGUGCUACAAUGGAUGGUACAAAGGGCAGCGAAGCGGCGACGCAUGAGCGAAUCCCAGAAAACCAUUCUCAGUUCGG
rnacentral:rRNA from 1 species